AAUAAGCUCCAUUAAAAGUGCAACAGAUGCCAUCGUCAGUUGGACGGAUGGAUAAAUAAUCGUUGCAUUUAUCAGGGACCCCUUGCCAGAUGCAAUCCAAGACGAAAUCACGACAGUUUGGAGCAGUCUGUAACUCAAACAAUUCGAUCGCUGUUAUGUUUUCCGAUUUGUAGAAGUCACUCAAUUGUUCGAGAUCGUGCUCGUGUUUGAUUGCACGGUCCAGUUUCGUCAUGUACCUUAACGUCUUGUGAAUGGUGCUGUAAGAAACGUUGUUGUACCUUACAAGAAAAGAAAAGAAUUUGGGACGUUUCUUUGAUAUGACAGUGACAGCGGGAAAUGGAUUGUCGUUCAGUGGGAACCGAGGCGAAUCCAACGACGUGAAAACAGGUGAGCUCUCGUACUUGAGCCACAUUUUCCAACAGAAAAACGAUGAGAACAAGAUACCAACCAAACAGACGAGAAGCCACAUGAUUCUAUUUGUGCAAAAGGAUUCGAGUCGUUUGGUAAAUUGAAUCAACAUCCGGUGUAUAGGAGAUGUCCAAGUAAAAUACUAACCGUUCAAACCAAGACACUCCGUCUUGCGUGAUAAGCUUGAGUCCGGGAAUCGACGAAUUGUUGGAGAAGUGUUUGAAAAAACGUCCGCUAAUACGGUAACGUGCUUUACUACGAGUGUCCGAUUCAUCCGGGAAUUCCAUCAUCAUCAUCUUCUUCGGCUGGCUUGUGACUGUGAACUGAAAAUAUUUAAAAGCAGCGGACAUUUAAGGGUUACAGAUCUGUCGCCCUUUUGUGCCAUUUCUUUCUUGUGCAGUGUUUCUGACUCUUUCCUGUUUGUUUGUUUUUUUUUAUUUGUUUUUGUUUUCUAAACUACAGAUCCAUAAACAAGUUUUAAACGAGCCCUGGAAAAUUAGAAGAAAAAAAGUAGUACCAUCUGAGUCAGCAUGUCAGUGUCGUUAUUCCGCUGUAAGUAGAUUGCUUUUGGUUUAUAACCCUUGUUUGAAUAAUCUAUCUAGUAUAAUAUUCAUUUAGAUAGGUUUUUAGUUUUCUACGUUUCUGAACUUCAAAGAAUUUUGGUAAUUUCCCUUUUUCUUCCAGAAACUUGUGUUAGUUUUGUUCGGGUAACAGUUUCCAUAUUCGGUUCCCGGAAUAAUGUUUUUCUCGACCAUUAAAUAACAAGGUCAUUCGACUAA